rnacentral:lncRNA from 1 species
UCCUCCUCUGAAGCGCCGAGCGCGCAGGGACGCAGGAGGCGGAAGCGUAAGUAUGACAGGAGAGAUUGGUCAGGCAAGAUGGGUGGGGCAGGGAGCUUUGACGACGGAGGAUUUGAUUGGCGGGACCCUGGCUGUGGCGUCUGUAACUGAAGCGGUGGCGGGAAGGUUGCUGUGUGGAUUGGCUGAUUUUCACGUCAGUGUUUGGAUUCGGCCCAGUGUUUUGAGUUGUGUUUUACUCCACCUCCCGGCCUGGAGCUGCAGCUGCGCCCCCGCGGACCAAAGCAGCCGGGAUGGAGAGCCCAAGCCUUGGGGACAACAAUGUCCCCUCCGUCACUGCUGGAAAGAGCCUAGUUUCAGACCCUCCCUGGGACCGCUGGCAAGUUUUUAAACCUCUCUCGGGCCUUAGAGGAGUCUCUCUUGUGUGGGUCUUCCUAACCUUCAACACAAGGUGACGGACACCUAGAGCUGUCGCCCUGUGGGAACAAACUAGGAUAUACCCGAUUCCUUGUCCUGACUGACUGGAGAAGACAAGGGAGGUU